rnacentral:rRNA from 1 species
GAGUUUGAUUCUGGCUCAGGAUGAACGCUGGCGGCGUGCUUAACACAUGCAAGUCGAACGGACCUGAUUUUUAGCACAAAUUGCUUAUGCCGAUCAGCAUGGGCGGAUGUGGACCCGGUGUCCAUAAGAAAGAACAUCCGUCUACGCGUUCCAAAGUGUGAUAACACAUGCGAAUGUGACAACACAUGCGAAAUGGAGAAAGUAAUGAGUGAUUUGUGCUGAAAAUCAGGUUAGUGGCGGACGGGUGCGUAACACGUGGGUAACCUGCCCUGCUUUUCGGAAUAACGCCGGGAAACCGUCGCUAAUGCCGAAUAAUAUGAGAAGAAGGCAUCCUUUUCUCAUCAAAGAAUCUCGAAGCAGGAUGGGCCCGCGCCGGAUUAGCUGGUUGGUGAGGUAACGGCUCACCAAGGCGACGAUCCGUAGCCGACCUGAGAGGGUGAUCGGCCACACUGGAACUGAGACACGGUCCAGACUCCUACGGGAGGCAGCAGUGGGGAAUAUUGCACAAUGGGCGAAAGCCUGAUGCAGCAACGCCGCGUGAGCGAUGAAGGCUUUCGAGUCGUAAAGCUCUGUCGCAGGGGAAGACAAAGACGGUA